AAGCAGCUAGAGAUAGCUGUGUCCUUCGGGACAAAGGAGACAGGUGGUGCAUGGUUGUCGUCAGCUCGUGUCGUGAGAUGUUGGGUUAAGUCCCGCAACGAGCGCAACCCCUGUGGUUAGUUGCCAGCAAGUAGCGUUGGGCACUCUAGCCAGACUGCCGGUGAUAAAUCGGAGGAAGGUGGGACGACGUCAAAUCAUCAUGCCCUUUAUGUCCUGGGCUACACACGUACUACAAUGGCCGGUACAAAGGGCAGCCACUCAGCGAUGAGGCGCUAAUCCCAUAAAGCCGGUCUCAGUCCGGAUCGCAGUCUGCAACUCGACUGCGUGAAGUUGGAAUCGCUAGUAAUCGUAGAUCAGCAUGCUACGGUCGAAUACGUUCCCGGGCCUU
rnacentral:rRNA from 1 species